rnacentral:rRNA from 1 species
GCGUGAGUGAAGAAGGCCUUCGGGUUGUAAAGCUCUUUCGGCCGGAACGAAAUCGCUCGAGCCAAUACCUCGAGCGGAUGACGGUACCGGAACAAGAAGCACCGGCUAACUACGUGCCAGCAGCCGCGGUAAUACGUAGGGUGCAGGCGUUAAUCGGAAUUACUGGGCGUAAAGCGUGCGCAGGCGGCCUCUUAAGUCAGAUGUGAAAUCCCCGGGCUUAACUCGGGAACUGCGUUUGAAACUGGGAGGCUAGAGUACGGCAGAGGGGGGUGGAAUUCCACGUGUAGCAGUGAAAUGCGU